rnacentral:lncRNA from 1 species
AAAAAAAAGUCCUGCAAGAUUGCAGAUCCACAAAAGCUGGUUUUAUAGAGGAUCAUGAACUAUGCACAAACUGGGUUCAAGACUUUUUUUCUCAAGUUUAGUAGGAUAUUUAGAAAAACCAACCUUCCUCAGAGUGACUGCAUCUCAUUGCCAUUACAUGCGUUCUAUAUAUUCGAUGGACAUACACCUGCGUAUGUAUAUCCAAUAUGUGUGCGUGUGAGCGUGCGUGUGCGUAUGUGCGUCCGACAUACCACUUCCCGUGCUGCCGGCGAGCAUUGAGUUGUAGAAAAACUGUUGUUUUAAAAUUGGGGAUGGAAGUCAAGAAUAUGUUUGUUUGUUUUUGGGUUUUGUUGGGUUUGAGGGGUUUUUUGUUUGUUUGUUUGUUUGUUUUUUACCUUUUAUUUUGAACUUAAUAUGUCUGUAACUCUGAGAUUAAACAACAAGUUCGUGGCUCUUAAUGUUUUCCUCAUAGAAUGUGACUGUUGAAGAACAUGCAUCGAAAGUUGCUUUCGAAAGUACAACGCUUUAUUGAAUCUUAAUAAAUUGCAAUUUUUUUUCUUGGCUGUUCAAAGUAAUGUGUCUUUCAUUUUUCAAAAGACACUAUGGAUGUCUACUUUGCACGCUGCGAUUGGGAGAGCUGUCCCGCUGCAUGCGUUCCCUCUGUAAUUUCCUCAGAGCUCACAUACGUACCUCUCUCACGAGUGAACUCAGAUUUUCCAUUGUUUUGCUUUAUUCUAUCAUUUGCUUUGUGGUUUUGCUGUAAAUAUUGAAAUCUUAAUCAUCAUCGAGAGGCACAGCCAAGCUUUCCAGCUCUCCACCCCCGUGGCCCAUCCAAGUCUGUUCAUCUGGUAACUUCUGUUGUCUGGGACGGCAGCAAGAAGAUGCCGGGGCUCGCCUGGAGUCCUGGCAGAGGAGUGCCACUCACUUUUGCCUAGGGUCCAGUUGGGGCUUAAAAAAUAUUUGGAGAGAAGAGUAAUAAGGAUUUUUUGUGUUUCCUAGACAUUUUAUGCAUCUAUUUUUGUAAAAUCACCUUCGCUAACUUUCAUCAAGCACUUUGAGCACAGUGGAACUUCAGAAGCAGAACCAGCCUAACCCCAGAAUCUCAGGUGGCACAGCUAGAAAUUGAGUCCCUUCCUAGGACACUGGCCGUGGCCUUCAGGGUGACCAGUCAGUGCCACCGGGUUGGCAUUGGUGUUACAGACAGGCCUCUGAAGACAAACCGAGCACCCCAGCGGCCCCUCAAACUAAGCAAGGAUCUUUUUUCUGUCUGCACUCCCUGGGGCAAGGUCAGAGGUGGACCCGCCCACUGUGGGUCAAUUCCUUCGAAAAGAUGGGACCCGCACCCCCGCCACAGGCUGCCCCCCCCACCCAUGGGGAAGGCGGUGUGCUGCUGGCUCUGACCAUACUCUUUUGGAAAUUGAGAAGGAAAGCAUUGAGUGGGACCUAAUCCGGAGAAGAAAUUAAAGACCAGAAAAAGAAGGAAGCUGGGAAUGAAACUCAAAAUGCACUUGAACCUGGAAGCGGCAACCCUCAGCUCUGUGCGGCCGAGCCUCAGCAAGAGUUCAUUUUGUGCCUGAGUUACUACUACAGGGGCAAACUGUACCCGUGCCUGUGUGCUGGGAGAACAAGGUCAGCGCCCAAGGGUGUGCAAAGGAUGUGGCAGGUUUCAUGGAGGAGGUGGCAUUUGCCCUGGGCCUGGGAGACCAGGUUGGAUUUUGACAGACUGGGAACUUGGGGGACAGGAGGGCAGCACAGUGUAAGCUAAAGCCCUGUGUAGGGACCCCACCCAAAGACCUCGUGGGCCUGGGUGUCCAGGGCACCAUUUCCACCCAUGGGUGAAAAAGAGGCUUGAGGAAGACAACAGGUUCUUCACCUGCAUCUGUGGAUAUAUAUUUUUUUUAAGUUUAUUAAUUUUUUUUUUUAAAUGACAGGUUCAGACCUGCCCUUUGUGGUUUGUGUUUUUGUUUGUUAAUACAGGGUCUCUGUCUCCCACGCUGGAGUGCAGUGAUGUAAUCUCGGCUCACUGCAACCUUGACCUCAAGGUUAAGCUCCAGCGAUCUUCCGACCUCAGCCUCCCAAGCAGCUGGGACCACAGGCAUGCAUGCGCCACCCCCCCCCCAGCUCAUUUCAUUUUUUAUUUUUGUAGAGAUAGGGUCUCACCAUGUUGCCCAGGCUGAUCUCGAACUGCUGGGAAUACAGGCAUGAGCCACGGUGCCCAGCCUUUGUUGUUGUUGUUGUUGCUAUUUUGGCAACAUCACGGCAGAACGGUAAAGGCAGAAAGCACAGUGCCCAGCAGCUAGCAGUGUGGCGUGCCAAGAAGGCUGUUCCAAUGGGGGAGAAGCCAGCAGACACAGGCAUCAUGGCGAGCCCCGACUGAGUGUUCAGUGAAGCGGGAAAACAGAGACAGUGGGGCAUCCCAAGAAGAUCCUCUGCAGGAGUGCGGUGUCUAUGGAUGGACCAAGAAAACCUACGCAGGAUCCACGUGGAAACAAAGCUGCUUAGCUCUGCAUAUCAGUGCUUCUCGGCGGAGCUGUGGCUGAUGGGCUCCUGGUGCAGGACUGGCCCCUGAACAGCACAAGUGUAGUAUGCCUGGGCCCCAGGUCAUCAUGAAAACCAGAAGCAGACACUCGGGAGGCUGAGGCGGGAGGAUCACCUGAGCCCAGGAGAUCGAGGCUGCAGUGAGCUGUGAUCGUGCCACUGUGCUCCGGGAUGGGCAACAGAAAGACCCCAUCUCAAAAAAGCAGAAGCACAUUUCCGAAGCCCCCCAAGCCCACGGGCGUGAGUGCAUGCAUGCGUUUGUGACAGCCUGGUGCUCGGAUGGGCCCAGAGCAGGGGUUCUCAACCUUGGCCCAUUAGAAUUACCUGAAAAUUUUUAAGAUAAUUCACAUCCGGCCAGGCAUGGUGGCUCAUGCCUGUAAUCCCAGCACUUUGGGAGUCCGAGGCGGGCGGAUCACCUGAGGUCAGGAGUUCAAGACCAGCCUGAGCAACAUGGAGAAACCCUGUCUCUACUAAAAAUACAAAAUUAGCUGGGCAUGGUAGCACAUGCCUGUAAUCCCAGCUACUUGGGAAGCUGAGGCAGGAGAAUGGCUUGAACCCAGUAGGCAGAGGUUGCGGUGAGCCAAGAUCGUCCCGUUGCACUCCAGCCUGGGGAACAAGAGUGAAACUCCAUUCCAAGAAAAAAAAAAAAAAUUCACAUCCAAAAUUUUAAAGAUAAUUCACAUCCAAAUCAACUCAAUCAGAAUCUCUCGGGGUGGGCCUCAGGCACCAGUGUUUUUUUGUUUGCUGGGACAGGGUCUUGCCGUUGCCCAUGCUGGAUUCAAAACACCUGGGCUCGGCAGGUGUUGUGGUUCAUGUCUGUAAUCCCAGCACUUUGGGAGGCCGAGGCAGGCAGAUCACUUGAGGUCAGGAGAUCUUCACCAGCCUGACCAUCAUGGUGAAACCCCAUCUCUACUAAAAAUACGAAGAUCAGCCAGGCCUGGUUGUAUGCACCUGUAAUCCCAGCUACUUGGGAGGCUGAGGCAGUGAGCCGAGAUCAUGGAACUGCACUCCAGCCUGGGCUAGAGCAAGACUCUGAAAAAGCAAAUAAACCGAAACUCUUGGGCUCAAGCAAUCCUCCGCCUCAGCCUCUGGAGCAGCUGCAAUUACAGACAGGCGCCACCACCUCCAGCAAGUACCAGUGUUUUUAAAACCUCCCUGGUAGAUUCCGUUGUGCAGCCCAGGCCGAGAAGCAUCGCGGAGUCUUGUCAUUCAGCCUGAAAUAGCAUCAAGUUCCCAUCCACUCGAACAACAGUUUGUAGAUCUUAGGCUGCUCUCAUCGAGCAAACAUGGCCUCCUUGCAACACCUCAAAUGGGUGCCAGGCAUGGUACGCAGCACACAAACUGUGUCACUUGAUACAGCGGCCCCAUGAGGCGAGGAGCUGGGAGGUCACAGAACAUGCCCCAGGGCACCCAGGGACACACUGAAGCCCAGGCCUCCAGCACGCAAGGGCUGCUCUGAAGAAACACGGGAGGUCCUCACUGGAGGGUCUGGGGCCACACCGUGGGUCCAGAGACAGAACAAACAGGAGGCAGAAACGAGGAGAGGACGGGCUCACCCAGCCGUGGGGCCGCGGGCUGGACAUCCAGUGGGAGUGGAAGCCGCCGUCUCAAGGCAGAAUUCCCUCUCUGGGACACCUCGGGUUUUGCUCUUAAAGCUUUCAGCUGAUAGGAUGAGGCCCACCCACAUUCUCAAGGAUGAUCUUUAGGUGAAAUGGACUGUAGGUGUUCACCACAUUCCAGCAGCACACGAUCACAGCAACACCUCGGCCCGUCGCGAUGAGAUCACUGGGCCCCACAGCCUGGCCUGGUUGACACGAAAGACUGACUAGCACACACGGUAAUUCUCCAGAAAUAUCCAGGCCAAGUUCUUCCACUUUCCUGUCAUAAGCAGCUGGUACUGUCCUUUGUGAGGCUGGCAAGAUGGGCUCAACAGGUCACAACCAAUGAUCAUGCUGGCAAGCCAGCAGUGGCAGGCACACGUCCCCAGCCAGAGAGGGACCGUGAUGGUUUGGAGGACAGCAUCUGCACAGAUAGGGGCUGGAAACCCUACGUCGGUCCCUGUGGACUGUCACGUCACUUUCUGGACUGCCCACGCAGCUUCACCCAGCAGCACUCGCACCUGAAGACGCUGCCACAGUUGGCUGCCCAGAAUCGGCACCAGCUACUUGCUGAGGCCCAGAAGCACCACUUGGCUCAGAUCCACCCAGAUGCCAACUCUGUCGGGCCCCUGUGGCAGCACCCAGAUGUCUGCAGAGCACAGGAGCAUCCCCAUGGGAUUGGGUGGGCUAGACCCAGCGUGGGGGUCUGCUAGCAGCCAGUAGCAUCUCCAUCUGGGUCUGACCCUUUUCUGGGCCCAUCGCUCUUUGACCAUUUCCCCACCUGGGUUCAUUCCCCCAAUCCCAAGCGCAGCUCCUGCAGGCCUGGAGCCCUGGGCCGUGACAGGCUGGUCCCCACAGGCCUGGAGCACUGGUGCUGUGACAGGCUGGUCCCCCCAAGCCUGGAACCCUGCGCCGUGACGGGCUGGUCCCCACAGACCUGGAGCACUGAGGUCAUGACGGGCUGGUCCCCGCAGGCCUGGAGCACUGGGGCUGUGAAGGGCUGGUCCCCGCAGGCCUGGAGCACUGAGGCUGAUGAGCUGGUCCCCGCAGGCCUGGAGCACAGGCUGACGGGCUGGUCCCCACAGACCUGGAGCACUGGGGCUGAUGAGCUGGUCCCUGCAGGCCUGGAGCACAGGCUGACGGGCUGGUCCCCACAGACGUGGAGCACUGGGGUCAUGACGGGCUGGUCCCCGCAGGCCUGGAGCACUGAGCCUGACGGGCUGGUCCCCGCAGGCCUGGAGAACUGGGGCCGUGACGGGCUGGUCCCCGCAGGCCUGGAGCCCUGGGCUGUGACGGGCUGGUCCCCGCAGACCUGGAGCCCUGGGCUGUCAUGGGCUGGUCCCUGCAGACCUGGAGCAC